rnacentral:rRNA from 1 species
CUGCAUUUGAUACUGGCAAACUAGAGUAUGGUAGAGGAAUGGGGAAUUUCUGGUGUAGCGGUGAAAUGCGUAGAGAUCAGAAGGAACACCAAUGGCGAAGGCAACAUUCUGGACCAAUACUGACACUGAGGGACGAAAGCGUGGGGAUCAAACAGGAUUAGAUACCCUGGUAGUCCACGCUGUAAACGAUGAGUACUAGCUGUUGGAUUCGGUGUAAAGGAUCUAGUGGCGUAGCUAACGCGUUAAGUACUCCGCCUGGGGACUACGGCCGCAAGGCUAAAACUCAAAGGAAUUGACGGGGACCCGCACAAGCGGUGGAGCAUGUGGUUUAAUUCGAUGCAACGCGAAGAACCUUACCUGGUCUUGACAUCCUGCGAACUUUCUAGAGAUAGAUUGGUGCCUUCGGGAACGCAGUGACAGGUGCUGCACGGCUGUCGUCAGCUCGUGUUGUGAAAUGUUGGGUUAAGUCCCGCAACGAGCGCAACCCCUAUUGAUAGUUACCAUCAUUAAGUUGGGUACUCUAUUGAGACUGCCGCUGACAAGGCGGAGGAAGGUGGGGACGACGUCAAGUCAUCAUGGCCCUUACGACCAGGGCUACACACGUGCUACAAUGGGUAUUACAGGGGGCAGCGAAGUAGCGAUAUGGAGCGAAACUCAGAAAGGUACUCUUAGUCUGGAUUGCAGUCUGCAACUCGACUGCAUGAAGUCGGAAUCGCUAGUAAUCGCAGGUCAGAAUACUGCGGUGAAUACGUUCCCGGGUCUUGUACAC